rnacentral:rRNA from 1 species
GGAUCAGUGGCGAACGGGUGAGUAACACGUGGGCAAUCUGCCCUGCACUCUGGGACAAGCCCUGGAAACGGGGUCUAAUACCGGAUAUGACCUUCCUCCGCAUGGGGGUGGGUGUAAAGCUCCGGCGGUGCAGGAUGAGCCCGCGGCCUAUCAGCUUGUUGGUGGGGUAAUGGCCCACCAAGGCGACGACGGGUAGCCGGCCUGAGAGGGCGACCGGCCACACUGGGACUGAGACACGGCCCAGACUCCUACGGGAGGCAGCAGUGGGGAAUAUUGCACAAUGGGCGAAAGCCUGAUGCAGCGACGCCGCGUGAGGGAUGACGGCCUUCGGGUUGUAAACCUCUUUCAGCAGGGAAGAAGCGCAAGUGACGGUACCUGCAGAAGAAGCACCGGCUAACUACGUGCCAGCAGCCGCGGUAAUACGUAGGGUGCGAGCGUUGUCCGGAAUUAUUGGGCGUAAAGAGCUCGUAGGCGGCUUGUCACGUCGGAUGUGAAAGCCCGGGGCUUAACCCCGGGUCUGCAUUCGAUACGGGCAGGCUAGAGUGUGGUAGGGGAGAUCGGAAUUCCUGGUGUAGCGGUGAAAUGCGCAGAUAUCAGGAGGAACACCGGUGGCGAAGGCGGAUCUCUGGGCCAUUACUGACGCUGAGGAGCGAAAGCGUGGGGAGCGAACAGGAUUAGAUACCCUGGUAGUCCACGCCGUAAACGUUGGGAACUAGGUGUUGGCGACAUUCCACGUCGUCGGUGCCGCAGCUAACGC